CAAUAGCGUAUAUUAAAGCUGUUGCGGUUAAAAAGCUCGUAGUUGGAUUUCUGUCAAGGACAACUGGUCCGCCCUCCGGGUGAGCACAUAGUUUGGUCUUGGCAUCUUGCUGGAAGCUGUUGCUGCACUUGGCUGUGUGGCGCAGCGUCCAGCACUUUCACUUUGAGGAAAUUGGAGUGUUUCAAGCAGGCACAUGCCUUUGGACACAGUAGCAUGGAAUAAUUAGAUUGGGCUUUUGCUCCAAUUUGUCGGUUUCUGGAGCUGAGGUGAGAAUUAAUGGGGAUUGUUGGGGGCAUCCGAAUUUAGCCGUCAAAGGUGAAAUUCUUGGAUCUGCUAAAGACGGACAACUGCGAAAGCGUUUGCCCAGGAUGUUUUCAUUGA
rnacentral:rRNA from 1 species